CAGAAAUAUGAAUUUUAGUACAGUGUUUUUUAACAGUAAGAAUUAUUAGUUUAUAAUUCUUUAAGACCCGAAAUUUGAAUUAGUCUGUAUAUUUAUUAUUUUGUUUCUUAAUUAGAAAUUUUUAAGGUUAAAAGAGUCUAAGUGCCAAGCACUUAACGUCAUUAGUAUAUAAAAUGGACGCACGUGGCAAUGUACAACAGAACGAUAAUGCAGUAAAAAGAGGCCAAAAAGGUACUGAAAGUGUUAGAAAAAAAAGAAAAAGGUGCAGAAUUAGUGGUUUACAACAUUCAAAUUAUAAUAGUGUUAUUGUGCCGCCAAAAAAUCCGCCUGAACUUGAGGUAACAUGUUCUUGUAAAUAUGCCUGCAAAUCUUUAACAUUCGAGCAAAGAAACGCACUGUUUCGUCAAUAUUAUGAAGCUGCUAAUUUCGAUAAGCAGGGUACUUUUCUUUUGGGACUGAUUCAAGCUAUAAACGUAGGUCGCAGGAGACACGGCACGUAUAAUAUGCCAAAACAAAGUCGUCGCCAAAUUACGAUUACUUAUACUGUUCCUAAUGGUAGUGGACAACAUGUUCAGGUUUGUCGAAAAACUUUUUCUGACAUAUUUGCACUGAGUCAUAAAAGAGUGCAAGUAUUUGUCGAAAAAAAGAAAAUGGGACAUACUACGUACACAGAUCAACGUGGUAAGGGAACGAAAAUUAGAAAGUAUUUGCCAGAAUUUCGUCAGCAUGUCAGGGAUCAUAUUCAGAGCUUUCCUCGCGAGGAAAAUCACUACAGCCGGAAUAAGUCAAUCAAAGAAUUUAUAAGUCCAGAUUUAAAUCUAAAUCGUAUGUUUUUGGCGUACAAUGCAAAAUAUCCAAAAUCAACUGUUACUUAGAAGUAUUACUCAAUGGCAUUUAAGAAGGAUUUUCCAAAUCUUAGAUUCGGAACGCCUAGGUCAGAUACAUGUUCGAAGUGUGAUCUUUAUCAAAAUAAGAUUAAAUCAAUUUUAUUGUCCGAUCCAGAAAGAAAACAAGUUACGCACAAACUGGACUUGCAUCAUCGUAAAGCGGAAAAUGCAAGAGUCUCAAUGAACACUGACAUUGCUAAAUCACAAACAAUAGAAAGUAAUGACAAUAUUAUUUCGAUUGAUUUAGAACAAGUGCUUUUUAUUCCGACACUAACACAUUCUGACAUGUUUUACAUUCGGCAGUUGUCCUGUUUUAACCUCGGAAUUCAUUUGUCAGAUACAGAUGAUGCAUUUAUGUGCCUCUGGGAUGAGUCACUUACUGGGAGAGGUGGAAAUGAAAUAGCGUCUGGUCUGCUAAAAGUAAUUUUGCACUCAAAUUUUCCUAAAAGAAAAAAUUUGGUCAUGUGGAGUGACAAUUGCAUAGGACAAAACAAGAACAAGAUUAUUUUAAUGUUGAUGAUUUACCUAGUUUCUAAGGGUAUCUACGAAAAGGUUGAGCAAAAAUAUCUGAUAAGUGGCCAUUCAUAUCUCACUUGUGAUAGAGAUUUUUUACAAAUAGAAAAGACAAAACGCGUUGUAAAAAACUACACUCUCGAAAAUAUAGAAAAGAUGAUAAGAGAGGCACGAAAAGGUCGAAUGAAAUUCCGGUAGCAUUGGUUCCAGACCUCGACUGCAGAAACCGUAUUUCAGCCGAGAAGCUGAAAAACUUAAAAGAUAUGAUGGACUAUAUUCCUGUUAAAUAUGUUCAGUUUUAUGAUAAUAUCAUAGAAAAAACACAAUCGAAUUAAAAGGCUCCUUUGGACAUAGACCCUUUUGACA